UUGACGGGGCCCGCACAAGCGGUGGAGUAUGUGGUUUAAUUCGAUGCAACGCGAAGAGCCUUACCUGGUCUUGACAUCCCGGAGACCCUUAGGAAACUAGGGGUGCUUCCAUCUGGAAGAAUCUGGAGACAGGUGCUGCAUGGCUGUCGUCAGCUCGUGUCGUGAGAUGUUGGGUUAAGUCCCGCAACGAGCGCAACCCUUGCCUUUAGUUGCCAGCAGUUCGGCUGGGCACUCUAAAGGGACUGCCGGUGUUAAACCGGAGGAAGGUGGGGAUGACGUCAAGUCCUCAUGGCCUUUAUGACCAGGGCUACACACGUACUACAAUGGCCGAUACAAAGGGCAGCGACACUGCGAGGUGAAGCCAAUCCCGUAAAAUCGGUCUCAGUCCGGAUUGGAGUCUGCAACUCGACUCCAUGAAGUUGGAAUCGCUAGUAAUCGUGGAUCAGCAUGCCACGGUGAAUACGUUCCCGGGCCUU
rnacentral:rRNA from 1 species